rnacentral:tRNA from 1 species
CGGGGCGUAGCGCAGCCUGGUAGCGCACUUGCAUGGGGUGCAAGGGGUCGGAGGUUCAAAUCCUCUCGCCCCGACCA